rnacentral:rRNA from 1 species
GACGAACGCUGGCGGCGUGCUUAACACAUGCAAGUCGAACGGAACGGCCCUGCUUGCAGGGUACUCGAGUGGCGAACGGGUGAGUAACACGUGGGUGAUCUGCCCUGCACUUCGGGAUAAGCCUGGGAAACUGGGUCUAAUACCGGAUAGGAGCCAUUUUUAGUGUGAUGGUUGGAAAGUUUUUUCGGUGUAGGAUGAGCUCGCGGCCUAUCAGCUUGUUGGUGGGGUAAUGGCCUACCAAGGCGGCGACGGGUAGCCGGCCUGAGAGGGUGGACGGCCACAUUGGGACUGAGAUACGGCCCAGACUCCUACGGGAGGCAGCAGUGGGGAAUAUUGCACAAUGGGCGCAAGCCUGAUGCAGCGACGCCGCGUGGGGGAUGACGGACUUCGGGUUGUAAACUCCUUUCGCUAGGGACGAAGCUUUUUGUGACGGUACCUAGAGAAGAAGCACCGGCUAACUACGUG